rnacentral:misc_RNA from 1 species
UCCGGCUUAACGCCGGCAGUCUCCCUAGAGUGCUCAACUAAAUGGUAGCAACUAAGGACGGGGGUUGCGCUCGUUGCGGGACUUAACCCAACAUCUCUCGACACGAGCUGACGACAGCCAUGCAGCACCUGUCUCCGGUCCAGCCGAACUGAAGGACUCCGUCUCUGGAAUCCGCGACCGGGAUGUCAAGGGCUGGUAAGGUUCUUCGCGUUGCGUCGAAUUAAACCACAUGCUCCACCGCUUGUGCGGGCCCCCGUCAAUUCCUUUGAAUUUUAAUCUUGCGAUCGUACUCCCCAGGCGGAAUGCUUAAUGCGUUAGCUGCGCCACCGAAGAGCAAGCUCCCCAACGGCUGGCAUUCAUCGUUUACGGCGUGGACUAC